UACGGAGGGAGCUAGCGUUGUUCGGAAUCACUGGGCGUAAAGCGCACGUAGGCGGCUUUUUAAGUCAGGGGUGAAAUCCUGGAGCUCAACUCCAGAACUGCCUUUGAUACUGAGAGCUUGAGUCCGGGAGAGGUGAGUGGAACUGCGAGUGUAGAGGUGAAAUUCGUAGAUAUUCGCAAGAACACCAGUGGCGAAGGCGGCUCACUGGCCCGGUACUGACGCUGAGGUGCGAAAGCGUGGGGAGCAAACAGGG
rnacentral:rRNA from 1 species